rnacentral:lncRNA from 1 species
UGUGAAAUAGGGUCUUUAUAUAGAAAAUUCCAUUGCAUCAGAGGUAUACAACACAGGAACCCAUGGGACACUCAAGGUAGUAGUUAUUAUUACUCUUGAAGCAUAACUGAAGAGGAAUGCACGAGAUGAAUUCGUUGCACAAAGCAAGGAAACAUCAAACUCGCACAGACCAAACACCACUCACGCACCAGUACGUACACUAUGCACCGACUCCCCCAAUUGAAUCACACCCCAUCGAUCAAAAUAUUGACCGACAAUAAUGCAAUUACAUCGAGAAGAGACAGAACAAAGCACCGAUGGGCACGAAAAUUCAAGGGACAUGAUUUCACAUUUUUCCAACAGAGCACAAUGUGUUGUGCAACAUCCAUGAGCGAUGCAACGCCA